UACAGAGGUCUCAAGCGUUGUUCGGAUUCAUUGGGCGUAAAGGGUGUGUAGGUGGCGCGCUAAGUCGGGUGUGAAAUUUCGGAGCUUAACUCCGAAACUGCAUUCGAUACUGGCGUGCUUGAGGACUGGAGAGGAGACUGGAAUUCAUGGUGUAGCGGUGAAAUGCGCAGAUAUCAGGAGGAACACCGGUGGCGAAGGCGGGUCUCUGGGCCGAUACUGACGCUGAGGAGCGAAAGCGUGGGGAGCGAACAGG
rnacentral:rRNA from 1 species